rnacentral:rRNA from 1 species
AUUGAACGCUGGCGGCAGGCCUAACACAUGCAAGUCGAACGAGUGGCGGACGGGUGAGUAAUGUCUGGGCAACUGCCUGAUGGAGGGGGAUAACUACUGGAAACGGUAGCUAAUACCGCAUACUCUCGGAUGUGCCCAGAUGGGAUUAGCUAGUGGGUGGGGUAACGGCUCACCUAGGCGACGAUCCCUAGCUGGUCUGAUAGGAUGACCAGCCACACUGGAACUGAGACACGGUCCAGACUCCUACGGGAGGCAGCAGUGGGGAAUAUUGGACAAGGGGCGCAAGCCUGAUGCAGCCAGGCCGCGUGUAUGAAGAAGGCCUUCGGGUUGUAAAGUACUUUCAGCGGGGAGGCGUUACCCGAAGAAGAAGCAACGGCUAACUCCGUGCCAGCCGCCGCGGUAAUUC